CCUUGCCCUCCUGGCCCAGUGCCACGGUCCCGUGGGUGCCAGGCCCCGGCAGCACAUCCACAUAGUGAUGGGUGGCAGCGGGCAAAGCAAAUGUGACUGAUCCUUGUCCCCAGGGUGACCGAGCGCAGGCGUACUGUGAGCUGGAGAGCGCCCUGAGGGAAGCCGACAGCCGCCCGCCCUGCGGAGUGGUGAACCGGCUGCUGGCAGAGGUGUCCCAGGACCUGACAGCAGCCCAGGGCGUGACAGCCAAUGUGAGGACAGCUGCCAGCAAUGUCCUGGUGGCUCUGGCCCAGAUGCACUUCACCUUGGUGAUGGCUGAGCUCCAGAGCCUCCUGAAGGCCACAGGGGAGAUGUCCAAGGAGUUUGUGCUCAUCACCCUGAGCAAACUCUUCAGCACAUAUGCUCCACAGUGCAUCUCCUUCACGUGGCUGACGCUGGCCGGCCUGCGCAGUGUGGUGGGCCAGGUGAAGAGCGGCCGGAUCCUGCGCAUCGCUUGUGCUGUUGUGAAACAGUGGCUGGAUGGAGUCAAGACUACCUUGUCCUCUGGAACCCAAUGCCCCUGGUCUGCCAUGGAGAAAGAGCAAAUCUAUGAGAACAUUCACGAGCUGCUCUUCUCUGUGGUGCAGAACUGGCAGGACUGCCAGGAGGAGGAGGACAAACAGGCUGUCCUUGGGGCUGUGGCUGCCAUGUUGGAUGUUCUCCUGCAAGAGGAGCUGCAUCAAGAGCAAGUCUGGGAGCAGCUCCUCUGGCUCAUUUACCCAUGUCAGGAGAUCCAAGACACCUGCAGGGUGGCCAAGGUGAGAUAUUGUGCAGGGCUCAGGGUGGACAAGGGGCCCGUGCAAGUGC
rnacentral:lncRNA from 1 species